GAUGAACGCUGGCGGCGUGCUUAACACAUGCAAGUCGAACGAACCUUCGGGUUAGUGGCGGACGGGUGAGUAACGCGUGGGAAUCUGCCCUCAGGAGGGGGAUAACGGUUGGAAACGACCGCUAAUACCCCAUAUGCCGAGAGGUGAAAUGAGUUUUCGCCUGAGGAUGAGCCCGCGUCUGAUUAGCUAGUUGGUGUGGUAAUGGCGCACCAAGGCUUCGAUCAGUAGCUGGUCUGAGAGGAUGAUCAGCCACACUGGGACUGAGACACGGCCCAGACUCCUACGGGAGGCAGCAGUGGGGAAUUUUCCGCAAUGGGCGAAAGCCUGACGGAGCAACGCCGCGUGAGGGAUGAAGGCCUCUGGGCUGUAAACCUCUUUUAUCAAGGAAGAAGAUCUGACGGUACUUGAUGAAUAAGCCACGGCUAAUUCCGUGCCAGCAGCCGCGGUAAUACGGGAGUGGCAAGCGUUAUCCGGAAUUAUUGGGCGUAAAGCGUCCGCAGGCGGCCUUGUAAGUCUGUCGUUAAAGCGUGGAGCUUAACUCCAUUUCGGCGAUGGAAACUACAAGGCUAGAGUGUGGUAGGGGCAGAGGGAAUUCCCGGUGUAGCGGUGAAAUGCGUAGAUAUCGGGAAGAACACCAGUGGCGAAGGCGCUCUGCUGGGCCAUAACUGACGCUCAUGGACGAAAGCCAGGGGAGCGAAAGGGAUUAGAUACCCCUGUAGUCCUGGCCGUAAACGAUGAACACUAGGUGUCGGGGGAAUCGACCCCCUCGGUGUCGUAGCCAACGCGUUAAGUGUUCCGCCUGGGGAGUACGCACGCAAGUGUGAAACUCAAAGGAAUUGACGGGGGCCCGCACAAGCGGUGGAGUAUGUGGUUUAAUUCGAUGCAACGCGAAGAACCUUACCAGGGUUUGACAUCCUGCGAAUCCCUUGGAAACGAGGGAGUGCCUUCGGGAGCGCAGUGACAGGUGGUGCAUGGCUGUCGUCAGCUCGUGUCGUGAGAUGUUGGGUUAAGUCCCGCAACGAGCGCAACCCACGUCUUUAGUUGCCAGCAUUCAGUUGGGCACUCUAGAGAGACCGCCGGUGAUAAACCGGAGGAAGGUGUGGAUGACGUCAAGUCAUCAUGCCCCUUACAUCCUGGGCUACACACGUACUACAAUGCUACGGACAAAGGGCAGCAAACUCGCGAGAGCUAGCAAAUCCCAUAAACCGUGGCUCAGUUCAGAUCGUAGGCUGCAACUCGCCUACGUGAAGGAGGAAUCGCUAGUAAUCGCAGGUCAGCAUACUGCGGUGAAUACGUUCCCGGGCCUUGUACACACCGCCCGUCACACCAUGGAAGUUGGCCACGCCCGAAGUCGUUACUCCAACCCGCAAGGGAGGAGGAUGCCGAAGGUGGGGCUGAUGACUGGGGUGAAGUCGUA
rnacentral:rRNA from 1 species